CUACUCCCAAAAGAUUUCUGCAAUAUGCUACACUUCAAAGAUCCUUCUCCAUUAUGAUUCUCCACUCCAUGAACUGUUUUUAUGAAGCAGCACAAAACCAAUAAAAAGUUUUGUGCAGAACAAGUCAAUAACUACUGUCCACUACUCCCAAAAGGUGAGUGUACAGAUGUCUACAUAAAG
rnacentral:lncRNA from 1 species